UAGACGUGUAUUUAAUUUUUCCUAAAUUUCAGCCACUAUUGGGACGGGCCUGGAGGCGAUUAUUGCCCGGCUGGGGACUUCUCGCCGGAGGCCAACGGCGAUACGGGUCUCCACUAAGGAAAACUGGCGCAACGCCGCGGUACUUCUCAACGCCGCGAUGCGACGGCUGGAAGUUCCCAAUUGUGGUGGACGUAGUAUUACGGAACGGACUCACCGGGAAAUGCUGGAUGUCGUCGGCGUCGACUGUGGUAGGCGAUUAUGACUGGUCCUCUGUGCGGCUCGAACGGACACCGGUUGCUGGCAGCCUGAGUCGUGGCUGCUGCAUCUGCCUGGUUAGACAAUAUGGCUGCGACUAUCGAACUAACCUAUCGAUAGAGUCUCUCCCAUUAUCGACUCCACGUUCAACAUCAACCAAAGAUUUCGAGAGGCGCUACCCGGAGUUUCAGCAAACUUGGCGUUAACAUAUUUGCUGAAAUCACUCUGCACGAAGUUGCGGCGGAAGACUUCUUGGCCUGGCUUGGCGUGCAGCGUACGGGCUCGCUUAUCAUAGCGUUGCCGGCUCAUCUCGUAUGCCCCCUCCAGUUGCUUCUUCACCUUGGCGUGGAUUACCCGAAGCUUGUCCUUGGUCUGCAUCCCGGCCAUUUCAUGGCCUAGCUAGUUUGUAGCUGGAACCAUUCAGGAACAUGUGAUGGCUGAAUACGGUGAAGAACGGCGCUUCUCCUGUGGCUAAGUGGACAGUGUUUCGGAUGGCCACCUUAAUCUCCGGCAGAUGUGCAUCCCAUUCCAGGUGAUCUUUGUCCAAGAAGCUGCAAAUUGCGGCCAAGACAUUCCUGUUUACCCUCUCCGCGGCAUUGUUCUGUGGUGAAUACAAUGGAGUCUUCAUGUGCUGUAUGCCGAAGCCAUCAAUCAUCUCCUCAAACGCCUUAGAUACGAACUGUUUGCCAUUGUCCGAAUGUAUCGUCUCAGGCACCCGGAACUUGUAAGAUACCUCGUUUACUAGAAAGUUUACUACGUUCGAAGCCAUUGCCUCCUUCAUCGCCUUUAUGAAUGUGUACUUGGAGAAGUGGUACACUACGAUGAAUUUCCAGGCGUGUCCACUCUUGGACCUCGGAUACUUGCCCAGAAAAUCAAUGUAGAGUUUCUGGAAUGGCCUCUCCGUCUCUACCCUUCUUCCGAUUCCGACCUGCAUCCUGAAGUUUGGCGCUUUGGACUCGUUGCACACCUCGCAACCAAUAGAACUGGCGUCGCAGGGUCUACAAGGUCUUCGUCAUCCCGCCAUGGCCAUACUUGGGGCCCGAAUGAGCACGCUCUAUUAAGCUGUGCGUCAGGCUUUGCGGGAUCCACAGCUUUCAUUCGGAUCCUUCCAAUUCCUCGUCCAUCUUCGGAUUACUCAUGCGCUUGAAGAUUAGUCCGCCGUCCACUUUGAGGUCCGUAACUUCGUUGGAUCUAUCCGGACUUCCUCGAUGAUGCGUGUUAGAGUGUCGGCGACUACGUUCUCGCUGCGUUUGCGAUGUUCAAUGCUGUAAUCGUAGCCUUACAGCUGGAAAGACCGCCUUGCGAGUCGUCCGGAUAGAUUCUUCAUUGUCAUCAACCACUUUUGGCUGGCGUGAUCAGUAAUGCAUGUGAACGGCAUCCCUUCCACAUACGGUCUGAACUUUCGAAUGGCUAGGAUGGCCGCCAGACACUCCUUUUCCGUCUUCGUCCUCGUCUCCAUCCUGGUUCCGCUGAAACAAUACCGCGCCGACGCCAACGUGGGAUGCGUCGCACUGGAUGUAGAAAUGUUUCUAGAAAUCUGGUCACCCACUGCCUGUGUGGCGUUGGGACUUAAGGAGAACUUGGUUUUUCCAGCCUUCUUCAAGGACUCGGGGAGUGGUGCGGCUAGCGUAGCGAAGUUCUUGACGAACCGUCGAUACCAUCCCGCUGUGCCGAGGAAGGCUCGGACUUCCUUCAUUGACUUCGGGUAAAGCAUCUUCUAAAUUGCCGAAACCCGUCCAGGAUCCAUCCGCAGCAGUCCACCUCCGACUCUAUAAACUCGAUUUGAAGCAAGACUUCAACUUCUUUGACCCUAUGGUCAAUCCGGCUGCUUUUAGACUGUGGGCUACUCGACGCAAGUAUUUCAAGUGAAAAUCUGGAGCGAGGACUAGCAGGUCGUCCAAGUAGACGAAGACGUCGGAUCUGAGCUCCGCUGGUAUCACUCGAUCCAUGAGCCGCACCAAGCGUUGUGCCGCGUUGCACAGCCCGAAUGGCAUCAUUCGAAACUGGUACAAGGGCCUGCCUGGAACCGUGAUCGCCGUGUAAUCCUUGCUUCUCUCAUCCAGUUCAAUCUGCAAAAACGCAAACUUAAGGUCUACGCUGGAGAUGUAAUACGUUUGAUCUAUCCUGGAGACGAUUCCUUCAAUACUGGGCAGAGGUUAUACAUCCUUAAUGGUCAAUGCGUUCAACUUCCGGGCAUCCAGACAGAACCUGUCUUUCCCUGGCUUUGACACUACUGUUGUGCGAUUGCUCCACGGGCUUUUGCUCCUCGAUGACACCCAGCUCCAACAUCUCGUCGGAUUCAUCUUCGACCACCUUUUGCUUCGCCGGAGACAUCGGAUACGGACGAUCCUUAAACACCCUAGCACCUUCCAUUAGCUCAAUGGAAUGCCUCUCCAUGCUGGUGACUCCGAGGCCAUCCCUUUCAAAGUUAAGGAACUCCUCUUUGACCUUGCUUAAUACCAGCUUUUCCUCCACAGAAAGGUUCCAGGAUUCGGGUUCCUCCCUUACCUCGUCCUCAUCUUCCUGCUCGGCGUAGUCCUCCAUCUGGGUGGCAUGGAUUUCCUCCGCUGCCUUGACGCCUCUCGUCACCGGCUUCCAUACGACGGCUGGAUCUAGUCCGAACGCCGCCAGAAGUCGACUCCGAAGUAAGCAGAUUAUUCCAGCAACUCCAAGCGUCCGAUAAUGGAUCGAUCCUCGCCAGAAGCCGGCCGGACUACGGAAAAAUACGGUUGGACGGUAACUCCCACGAGCUCUCGACAGCCUUUGUCCAGCACACUUACGCUGGCGCUCGUGUCCAACAAGCCAUUGAGCUGUUUGCCCAAGGUCUCACAUCGCCACCACCUCUCGUCGUCUGGAUCUUUUUAUCCUGAAGCGCUCCCUUGCUUUCUGGACUCUCCGUGAGACUAUACGCAUGCCGCUCAGCUGAUGUUCCGCAAAGAUCCGGUUCCGUGCCUCCAUAUAACGACGAAGCCUUUCAUCCUCUGGUAGGUAUCUUAACAAAUACUUAUGUCUAUUAGAUGGGCUAUUGUUUUGAUCUUCCUCCUUCCGAACUACUUCGCGGGAUUCCAACCUGGGCGAUUCCCUCACGCUUUCGGACUGCCCGUUUUCCGCGCAAUCGGGACAUUUCGGAGAAAUAACGCCCGGUCUGCCGCACCGAAAAGAAAACCUCCUCCACUCCGUAGCCUCGCAAUCCUGGAAUCCGUGCUUCGCAGCCCCGCAAUUCCAACAACCUAGCCUGAAUGGGUUUUCGACUUCGUCCUGUAUGUGCGCCUCGCUGACCCGUAACUUGCUCUGCUGCAAGUAAGCAGCGCGCCCUCGACGACCGAAACUCCUCUCUAUUUUGACGCAUUCCUCCCGAAGUUCGUCCACCGUGAAUACAUCCAUUGCGUAAACGUACCUAGCGAUGCCGUCCCUCAAGCCCUUUUUAACCACCUUCACUAACUGCCGCUUGGCAUUGGUUUUUUCAGGCGUGAGGCGAGCUGCUCCAUGGAAUGGAUGUAGUCAUUCGCUCUCUAUCCCGGCUGUUGCUCACGCUGAAGUAGCUCUUGCAUCCUUUCGUGUUCCGUCUGGUGGCCACGGAACCGAUCCAUCACAGCCCUGCGCAGCUGGGCCCAAGUGUCCACUCUGUAUUGGCGUACGUGUACCCAAUACCACUCCUUUGCUCUGCCCGAUAGGAGGACGUGGAAGUUCCGCAGAACUUUAUUUAUCAACUACCGCCGCGGAACCCAGAACCUGGUCGCCGACGACCUAUCACGCCAACUUCUGGUAACGAUUCAGCAAGUGCAGGUACAAGCAACAAGUGCAAGUGGAUAACCAAAGUUCUACGACGAAUGCGGCAGGAGCCCGCCAAGUUUCCAGACAUUCGAGAGGAGAACGGACAACUUUAUCGGCGCAUUGGCCAGCGCCCGGAAGAGGAAGAAUACACGCCUUGGAAUCUAAACCAGCUCUACAACUACUUUACAGAAUGGCGCCCGAGCAGGGACUAGACAGGAUAUCUUAAGGAUAAUUCCAUCCAUUGUGUCUUAAAUCACCACCAGUAAAAA